rnacentral:misc_RNA from 1 species
AACGCACAUUGCGCCCGCCAGUACUCUGGCGGGCAUGCCUGUUCGAGCGUCGUCUCAACCCUCGGGCCCCCGGGCUCGGUGUUGGGGAUCGGCCCCGCCUGCGGCGGCCGGCCCCGAAAUCCAGUGGCGGUCUCGCCGUCGCCUCCUCUGCGUAGUAGCAACACCUCGCAUCGGAGCGCGGCGCGGCCACGCCGUAAAACCCCCGACUUCUCAAGGUUGACCUCGAAUCAGGUAGGAUUACCCGCUGAACUUAA